UGGGGAAUCUUGGACAAUGGGCACAAGCCUGAUCCAGCCAUGCCGCGUGGAUGAUGAAGGCCUUAGGGUUGUAAAAUCCUUUCGUUGGGGACGAUAAUGACGGUACCCAAAGAAGAAGCUCCGGCUAACUUCGUGCCAGCAGCCGCGGUAAUACGAAGGGGGCUAGCGUUGUUCGGAUUUACUGGGCGUAAAGCGUACGUAGGCGGUUAUUCAAGUCAGAGGUGAAAGCCCGGGGCUCAACCCCGGAACUGCCUUUGAAACUAGAUAGCUAGAAUCUUGGAGAGGUCAGUGGAAUUCCGAGUGUAGAGGUGAAAUUCGUAGAUAUUCGGAAGAACACCAGUGGCGAAGGCGAACUGACUGGACAAGUAUUGACGCUGAGGUACGAAAGCGUGGGGAGCAAACAGGAUUAGAUACCCCAGUAGUCCCUGAGCGGGCUGGCAAGGCGCAU
rnacentral:rRNA from 1 species